UAUCCCAUGACCUCUGUUUCAUUAGGAAACUUGGCUAAAAUGGACAGAUGCACUUGGAAACUGAAGCAGGAGCCCUUUCCAAAGGGGCUGGCCUGGCUGAGCGCAGUCUGCUUCAGAGCUAAGAUAAAGGGCACUAUAAAACCUGUGAAAGCCCCUGAACUGGUGUGCUGAGUCUCACCCUGGGCUCCAGGUUGGAGAGCUGCCGUGGCUCUGGCACGGUGAUGAAACUGUGGCUGGGAGCUUUGAGCGGCCGCAGAAUGGGGCAUCCUUGCCUCAGAGGGGGCCAGCUGGGAGCCCAGCACGCCUCCAUGGACAUGGUGCCUCCAGCCACCUCUGCACAGCUCCUGCAGGACCCAGGGGUGACAUCAGAGGAACACCAGCUCCUGCACAGCUCCAGGUCUCUCCAUGCCUCUCAUCUGGAGCUUAGGAGAUCUUGUUGCUGGCAUGGGAAGCUGCCAGAUCCCAAGAAACAAUCUGUGAACCCCAACAUGGAGGAUCUGUUCUGCCUGCAUGGGCCAUCUUGAUCUCCAGGAAUGUUUAAUAAGAGGUGUCUGAAAUCCAGCUUUGGCCAAGGAUCAUCUCCAGGAGUACAGCUUUUCUGAUUGACCAUCACCUGCUGAAGAUCAUGCACCAGGAAAAGGUCACCUAAUGGCCCCAUGAGGAAAUACCUUGUUCUCCACCUCCCCUCCUGUGAGAUGUCUGGGAUCUUACAAGCAGAUCAAGGACUUGGGAUAUAACUUUGUUCAAAUUCAAAAGCACAUUCACUUGAGUUGCCGAAUUUGGCCUGAAAGAUUCAUUCGGUUUUGGUCCUCCUGGUGCACUGUGUGCUCACCUGGUGAGACCUUCCAGCUCCUGCCCGUUUCUGCCCACAUCUGUUCCCCCAAUAUCUGACCCUACCAACACCAGCAGCAUUGGGCCACCUUUGCUGUGUGCUAGUUUGGAUGCCCAGCACAUGACAGCCUCGUGUCUCAUGGUAGAUGACUCAUUUGGGACCUGCCCCAAGUCCCAGUCUGAGAUUUCCACUCCAGCCACAUUAUUAGCUCCUAGCCUUGAUGAAUGGGCUUGUUAGCCUUAGGUUACUCAUAAAGCAUCUUUCUUCUGUAGUUUCUGAUUAAAAACAUCUUUCUGAUUCAUCUUUAUAGCACUUAUGGCUGGGCUGCAGCUUCAUUUAACCUCUUUGGCCUAAGUUAGCCAAAAAUAAAUAAACACAGCAGGUUUACAGAAAUAUAGCUACCUCCCAACCAUCUCUUCUGGAUGUGGAGUGCCACUUUGCUCAAGUAUUGGUUUCUUGCCCUCCAAGAGAUCCCACUUGUCCAGGCACUGCCAGCUCACCAGGGUGCUCUUUGCCUCCAGAAACCUUUUGUAGUUCAGUGGUCAUCAUAGAAUCAUAGAAUGGUUUGUGUGGGAAAGGACCUCAAAACCCAUCCAGUUCCAACCCCCUGCCAUGGGCAGGGACACCCUCCAUAGACCACGUUGCCCAAAGGCCCAUCCAAGCCGGCCUUGAACACUGCCAGGGAUGGGGCAUCCACAGCUUCUCUGGGCAACCUGUUCCAGUGCCUCACUCCUCUAACAGUAAAGAAUUUCUUUCUAACAUCUAAUCUAAAUCGACCCUCCUUCAGCUUGAACCCAGUACCCCUUGUCCUGUCACUACACUCCGUGAUAAACAGUCCCUCACCAUCUUUCCUGUAGGCCCCUUCAGGUACUGGUAAGCCGCAAUUAGAUCUCCCCGGAGCCGCCUUUUCUCCAGGCUGAACAACCCCAACUCUCUCAGUCUUUCUCAGCAGAGGAAACUCCUAGGAAGAGCCUCACAUACAGCUUACACAGCUUCCUGAGGGGCUUCCUUGAUGGACCAAAGCAAAACCUAGGAUGUCAGAGCCUUGCCUAGAGAGGUCAUGCAACUCUUCUGACCCCUAAGUGAGAACCUAUGGGCUGAAGAGGUGCUCCAAAGGAAUGCAUCCUUUCCUGAUCAAAAAAGAAAGCACCAGUCCCUGUGCCAAGUGCAGAAGGCUGUCUCCAACUCCAGUCAACCUCCUCAUGGUCUGGUGGACGGUCAUGCUGAGACCAGACGAGAGACAGCUCCAGCAGUGUACUGCCUCUGGUAUUUCCUACUGUGUCCCAGCACAGCGUGCUGCCCAACCUGCGCCGAGCCCCACAUCUCAUGCAGAGGACAUGCGGGUGCCUGAAUCUGCUCCUAGAACUGACAUCUCCCAUAGGGUAUUGCCUGGUGGAUCAGUGCAAGGUGUAAGGUCUGCAGAAGAAAGCUUCAUCCCAUGUUCAGCUCUGGCUGGACGAACCUCAGGCCAAGGCAGGGGAGCUGCAGGUGAGUGUGUGUGUGCAGGAUACGGAGGCUGGAAGAGCAGGGUUUGAGGAGGAUGGAUUACAGCGUGCACCCAGAGUAGUGCUUCAGAGUGGCUGGAAGUGCUGCCUGGUGUUUGCUCCCUUUCUUUUGCUGCUCUCAGAUCCAAAGAAACAGCUGAAACCUCUGAAAACAGUGAACUUAGAAGGAAAGAAAAACCCAAACCUCAAAAACUGAAAAGAUCAAGGGAGCUUGGAAGGCUUUAUCUUCCAAGAAUCUGGGAUUAUUUUUGGGAAGACAAGUGGGGCAGAGUGGUGAAAGGCAGCAGAUAGCCCCUGCCUCUGAUCCCACCGGGCUGCGGGUGCUGUAAGGCCACCCCAUCUCCUGGAUCCAGCUGGGCAAAUCCCAGCCUGCAGAGAGCCAAGACUUGGAGUUAUUUCUGCAGUAUCCCAUUAUACGAAUGUCCUGCUGGAACAGCACCAAAGCACAGUGUUGGGAGUUUUGUAACACUGCUUUCUACGGCAGUGCAUGGAGCUCGCACAUCCCACAUCCAGCCUGGGCUUCCUGGUGCAGUCAAAGGGCCAGAUGAGGCCAAAGGGAUAUCGCCUCUCCUGCAGCACCCCAGAUAUUCAGAAAUCCAAGAUAAAUAAAAGUGUCACCGAGAGGAAGAGAGGAGAUGAUACAGUGGGAUGCGGGGCCCGGAAGAGGGGAUGUGUCCCAGCUUCAUGGCUUUUUCCUAGGGUGUAUGCUCGGAUCGUGAGGGGUAGUUUGUACCUCUGCCCUGACCCUGGCUGCAACUGUGUUCUUCAGCUCUGAAAGCUCUUCCUUCUCUCUCCAGAAAUAUUUCUUCAGCAGGGAGCCAGGAUCUAGGCACAAACCAUGAAAUAAGGCAAAUUACCACCCAUCAUGCCCACGGUUUAAAGGUGCUGUGGUGAGAGACAUUAGAAACAUUACACUUUGGGGCAAAUCAUGUCACAGUGGUCAGCAAAGGAUUAGCUCCCACCAGCACGUGAACUAAAGGCAGAGAUGUGGUCUGUUCCCCUAAUGCUGUUGGUUUUCCCGUAAAACUACAGCAUCGCUUAAUGCAGGGACCCCUUUCCACUGGAUGCAGACUCUACAAAGCACUGCUGGCCUGGCUACACCUGCUGGGCAGGUGGGAAUAAAUCACCUUGCUGGCCAGGAAAAGCCCACAUACGUUUUCCUGCAAUGUUUUCAGGCAGAGGAGCUGGGUAGCAGCUGCCCUCCAAGGAGAAGAUUUUUGCAUAUCCACAAAACAAUGCUGUCCACAGUCAAGGGGUUUUUCUACAAUGGGUUUCUGAGAUGGCAAAAAGUGGCUACUCUGUGGGUUUCUGCCUGUAACACCUUACUCUUUAAGAUUAUGACAUAGGUUUAGAGAAAUAACUGGUUAAAAGUUAUCACCCUCUCACCUUGAACUCUAAAGCACUUCAGCAAAGCAUCCGUGUGAGGUGAAGGCAUCCUGAGUUUGGCUGGUCCAAGCAAGGUGGGUGAUUCACCCCUGCCCAGAAGGAGCACACUGUCUGCUCCCCUUGCUGGGAGGCUGCUGCCACUCCAGACAGACCCGUCUCAUACCCAGGUUGCACAAUCCUGCUUGGCAGCUCAGGCUGCCGGGUUGCAAAACAUGAAGCUGUCCGCUGCAGUCACACUCUGGCGACUCAUCCAAGAGCCAUUGAGCUCAUCUGUCAGGGGUACCAGGCUUUCCAAAAGCAAAGAUGCCAAUAAGCAGGGUUUUAACAAGCAGUAAAUUGGGAAAGUCCAUAUUUCCUACUGAAAAUGGGCAAGAAAAGCAGCUACCGCAAUGCCCCAAUAUUGCAGAUGUCAAGGCGUGUGCAUGGUGCCGGCUGCUGGCAGGGAGAGGGAGGAAUGGAGAGGGAGAAGGGAUCAUUUUUCACUUUUCAAUACAUUUUUCAUUAAUAAAGCACCUGUGUGAGUGCACAUCAGGCCCCCUCUGCAGUGGGGAGCAGGGGCAGCACCGCGCUGGGUGGUUGUGCCUGCUCCCUUCACCAGGCAGGGCUGUCCUGAUUGAAUGUGGUCAGAAGUAAUCCCACACAAUUAUUCUGAACAAGCACUGUUUUCCUUGGAAAUAAAGGGCCUUCUUUCAAAAUAUCCCAUUUUUAUGAAAUAUUGUUUUUCUGCUGCCAAGUUUGAUUGGGAUUUUUUCCAAAAAUUAUUAUUUUUUUAAAUUAUCUUUUUUUUUUAACCUGAAAGUCUCCCAAAAAACUCCAUCAGAGAGAAUGGAAAGAGUGUGGAGAGAAUGUGUUUUUUGUUGGCUCAACCCUGCACCUGGACUCAGCAUGAUGCGUAACCUUGGUUAAUUAACAAACAAAGAUACUGUGCUGCCCCAGAGCGAUGCACUUGCUAUUACUGUGCACCGACGGCUUGCUGCCGACUGAAAAACCAAGAGACUCAAACCUGAAAUUGCUCAAACCUCUUCUGAUUACUGCUAAGUAGCUUGCCCUGAGAAAUUAUGUGAAAGUACAACAUUUUACCUAUGUGUGUUGAGUCCGGGAGGUUGACAGCCUGUACACAACACUCCCUCUGCCUGUUGGGCUGGCAGACCCAAUUUUCUCAUUUGCACUGAUUUCUGCAUCGUCCCAGAGGUCCCCAGGAAAUGUUUCUCUUUCCUUCAUCUCCGAGGACUGUGUCUGCUCCCUCCUCUUCCCAGAAUUUUUUUCCCCAGUUUUUCCCUGAUCGCAGCCCCAGUCGUGAAUGUCUCCUGCCUACACCUAUCUCUGCCAUUCAACCAUCUCCCCCUCCUUAUGGCAGCGCCAGGGAGGUGCAAUUUGUUCGUCCUCCAGCCAGGAGGGCAGAGAGCAGUUCCUCUCCCUGGAAAGAUCUGAAGAACAUGUUGUAAAGAAGCAACUCGCAGACAUGGGGCAGGAGAAGGGCUUGUGCCUGUGCGUGUUCUCAUGUUGCCCACCAAAACCAAACUAGGACAGUCCUGCUAAUAAACAGCACAGAGAAAAAUAAAGAGGAGGAACCCAAAUUGUGCUGGUCCAGAGGUGAAGAUCAAAUGCUGCAGAGAUGAAGGGUCCUUCCCUGGGUGUUUCUUCACUGCAGGGAAAUGGUGGAAGAGGAGAAACUUCUUGUGUGGCUCCAGCUCCCGGCAGAGGAGAGUGCACACCUUUGUGCUCAAGCAUGCAAUAUACAGCCAGUAAUGCUGUAAUAGAGCAGUGGAAAAACACAUAGAAAAAGCAAAAUCCAGCAGAGUCAAAUCAUCAGCACCCACCAUAGCACAUUCAGCACUCUUGCCUAGUGUGCAGAAAUUGGAUUAGGAAUAUGUCCCAGAAAAAGGAUGUAAGAAAACCUUUCUCCUGGGGUAGCUUUUCCUGCACAGAGGGGACUGUUAAACUGGUGUAGGACAGCUUUUCCAACCACAUGACAAUGGCCAAGGCCACUCUGUCAUUAAAAUUGCCAGCCUGUGCUUUAAAUAGCAUAGUUUGCAGGCUGAACUUUAAAGCUCCUUGACUAGUCAUUACCAAGUUUCCUAGAAAAUUUUGGCAUGUGAGCUCAUUGUCGGCAUUUAAACAAGCCUGGAUGCUGGUGCUCUCCAUCCCCAUCACUGCAAGCGGGGAUGUCAGAGGUUUCUCUUUCCUGUGAAAAGCCCUUAAGCCAGCCAGGUAAUUAAUUUUCUGCUUUUGAGGAGAGCUUAGUCUGGCAAGGAGUUCAAGGCAGGAGCAUUAGCAGAG